CCUACGGGCGGCAGCAGUGGGGGAUAUUGCACAAUGGGGGGAACCCUGAUGCAGCGACGCCGCGUGGGUGAAGGAGCGUUUCGGCGCGUAAAGCCCUAUCGGCCGGGAAGCAGGAGGACGGUACCUGACUAAGAAGCCCCGGCUAACUACGUGCCAGCAGCCGCGGUAAUACGUAGGGGGCAAGCGUUAUCCGGAUUUACUGGGUGUAAAGGGGGCGCAGACGGCGGGGCAAGCCAGGAGUGAAAGGCCGGGGCCGAACACCGGGCCUGCUCUUGGAACUGCGCGGCUGGAGUGCAGGAGGGGAAGGCGGAAUGCGUGGUGUAGCGGUGAGAGGCGUAGAGAGGGCGAGGAA
rnacentral:rRNA from 1 species